rnacentral:lncRNA from 1 species
UCGACACAAAUGCAUUUUGAGCUUCAUCAAUACAUCAUUCUAAUGCUUUCUAAAAAUGACUGGCAACUAUCUUUGAAAUCAUUUUAUAGAGAACUGUAUAGAGACUUAUCGGCAUAAAAUUCGUUAAAUUCAUCGGAUGGGCUUCUUUCGGUAUGAAUACACUAUUGGUUAUACUGAGAGGUCCCAAAACCUUACCUUCAUUCAAAACUCCUAAAUAGAAGGAACUGACUUCUCCUUCAAUGAUGUGCC